UGAGGGAUAUUGGACAAUGGGCGGAAGCCUGAACCAGCCAUGCCGCGUGAAGGAUGAAGGCGUUCUGCGUUGUAAACUUCUUUUAUAAGGGAAGAAACCUACGAUUUCUAUUGUAGCCGACGGUACCUUAUGAAUAAGCACCGGCUAACUCCGUGCCAGCAGCCGCGGUAAUACGGAGGGUGCAAGCGUUAUCCGGAUUUACUGGGUUUAAAGGGUGUGUAGGCGGGCUGUUAAGUCAGUGGUGAAAUCUCUGGGCUCAACCCGGAAACUGCCAUUGAUACUAUCAGUCUUGAAUUCUGUUGAGGUAGGCGGAAUACAUCAUGUAGCGGUGAAAUGCUUAGAUAUGAUGUAGAACACCGAUUGCGAAGGCAGCUCACUAAGCAGCGAUUGACGCUGAGGCACGAAAGCGUGGGGAUCAAACA
rnacentral:rRNA from 1 species